AGACGACCUCAGUUCGGGCGAGAUCACCCGCCGAACUUAAGCAUAUCGCUAAGCGGAGGAAAAGAAACUAACAAGGAUUCCCUCAGUAGCGGCGAGCGAACAGGGAAGAGCCCAGCGCCGAAUCCCACGGUCCGAGAGGACCGUUCGGGAAAUGUGGCGUUAAGGAGGAUCCGCGAGCCCCGGAGCCGCGAGCGGCGAGUCAAAGUCCUUCUUGAAAGAGGCCGAUCCACCCGGAGAGGGUGCCAGGCCCGUAGGACCGCCGCCCGACGACGGGUCGGAUCUCUCCCUAGAGUCGGGUUGCUCGAGAUUGCAGCCCAAAGCAGGUGGUAAACUCCAUCUAAGGCUAAACACGACCACGAGACCGAUAGCGAACAAGUACCGCGAGGGAAAGUUGAAAAGAACUUUGAAGAGAGAGUUCAAGAGUACGUGAAACCGUUCGGGGGUGAACCUGAGACACCCGAAAGGUCGAGGGCCGAGAUACAGCGUUCGUCCGACCCCGGACCGCGCGCGCGCGCGCGCGUAUCCCGCGAGGGAGAUCGCGCCGCGCGCCGGUCGCCGGGGCGGCGACGUGCACUUUUCGGCCGGUAGGACGUCGCGACCCGUCGGGCCGCGCCGACGCGCACCAACGGGGGCGCGCGCGGGAAGCUCGGGAGGGCGCGGCCGGCCUCGCGCCGGCCGCCGUUCCCCGAACCCGUCCGCGCGUCCUCCGCGUCCAGCGGCGCGCCCGACGCGACACAGAGCAAACACGAAAGAGCGAAACCGCGCGGCGGAGCGAGCCGCCGCGAGAGCGGCGAGCGAGCGCGCGCCCGUCCCGUCCGCGUCUCGGCGAACGUAUUCGGUUCCGGUACCGGCAGGUUCGGCGGCCAGGCGCCGUCGGCUCCGGGAAAGACGCGUUCCGACGCGGCGCGGCACUCGGGCGAUCCGCCGUCGGUCCGCGACGCUAUAGCUUCGGGCGGUCUCAGGACCCGUCUUGAAACACGGACCAAGGAGUCCAACGUGCGCGCGAGUCAAUGGGAGAGUCGAGCCGGCGGCGCGCGAGCGCGCCGGCCGACGCCAGCAAGCUAAACCCAAAGGCGAAGCGAAAGCGAAGGCCGCGCGGCGGUCCGCGGCGACGCGGGCCGUCCCGGCCGUAGGGAGGAUGGGCUAGCGCCGUCGUCGCCCACGAGGCUUCGGCUGCGCGUCCCCGCACUCCCGGGGCGUCUCGCCGGGGCAUCGCGAGCGGCCGCGCGUGCUUCGCGGCACGCGCCCCGCGCCGCGCCGGUGCCCGAGACGCACCUCCAGCGCGCACGCUGGGACCCGAAAGAUGGUGAACUAUGCCUGGUCAGGACGAAGUCAGGGGAAACCCUGAUGGAGGUCCGCAGCGAUUCUGACGUGCAAAUCGAUCGUCAGAACUGGGUAUAGGGGCGAAAGACCAAUCGAACCAUCUAGUAGCUGGUUCCCUCCGAAGUUUCCCUCAGGAUAGCUGGCGCUCGAAACUAAAUUACGCAUCGAGAGAGUCUCAUGCGGUAAAGCGAAUGAUUAGAGCGAAUCGGGGUCGAAACGACCUCUACCUAUUCUCAAACUUUAAAUGUGUGAGAUCUCCGGCUUGCCCGAGAGACGAAGCCGCGAGAUCGGAUCUAGGGCGCCAAGUGGGCCAAUUUUGGUAAGCAGAACUGGCGCUGUGGGAUGAACCAAACGUUAAGUUAAAGCGCCCAAAUCGACGCUCAUGGGAGACCAUGAAAGGCGUUGGUAACUCAGGACAGCAGGACGGUGACCAUGGAGGUCGGAAUCCGCUAAGGAGUGUGUAACAACUCACCUGCCGAAGUUACCAGCCCUGAAAAUGGAUGGCGCUAAAGCGUCGUGCUUAUACUUUGCCGUUGGCGGCAUCGCGCGAUGCGGCGCAACAGAGGCCCCGACGAGUAGGGGGGUCGCGACGGUGAGCGUAGAAGGACAGGGCGCGAGCCCGUCUGGAGCCGCCGUCGGCGCAGAUCUUGGUGGUAGUAGCAAAUACUUCAGCGAGCACCUGGAGGACUGAGGUGGAGAAGGGUUUCGUGUGAACAGCAGUUGCACACGAGUCAGUCGAUCCUAAGCCGCUAGGCGAAAGCCGAUGUAGAUGGGGCGCCGACGCGCGACUCGGCCGUGUGUAGCCGCAGUAGCGUCCGCAGCGUCGUCGUCGUCCGUCUUUCUCGGAGAGCGUAGAGUUUUUUUUAUCUCGUUCUCUCUUCUUCUCGUUCGGCCGCGCAGCAGUAGUACCCGUCGUCGCAGUCGGCCACCGCGGUCUCGGUUCGCAUUCUUCGCCGCCGCCGUCGUCGUCGCGCGCGUCACGCGCGCACGACCGACGGCGAGAGCGAGACGGACGGACGGACCGACCGAGGCCCGACCGGGCGGGGAAAGCCGACUCGAAAGGAGAAGAUAGAGAGAGAGCACACGACAUAGAGAAAACGAACAAACGCCACGAGACGACGACGACGACGACGACGCGAGCGCGAGACGCCGCGACGUUCUCGAGGAGAGAGACACA
rnacentral:rRNA from 1 species